GGAUAAUCUACCCUUAGGACCGGGAUAACCCUGGGAAACUGGGGAUAAUACUGGAUAGGCAAUUAUUCCUGUAAUGGUUUUUUGUUUAAAUGUUUUUUCGCCUAAGGAUGAGUCUGCGGCCGAUUAGGUAGUUGGUUAGGUAAUGGCUUACCAAGCCGUUGAUCGGUACGGGUUGUGAGAGCAAGAGCCCGGAGAUGGAACCUGAGACAAGGUUCCAGGCCCUACGGGGUGCAGCAGGCGCGAAACCUCCGCAAUGUGAGAAAUCGCGACGGGGGGAUCCCAAGUGCCAUUCUUAACGGGAUGGCUUUUCAUUAGUGUAAAGAGCUUUUGGAAUAAGAGCUGGGCAAGACCGGUGCCAGCCGCCGCGGUAACACCGGCAGCUCUAGUGGUAACAAUUUUUAUUGGGCCUAAAGCGUCCGUAGCCGGUUUAAUAAGUCUCUGGUGAAAUCCUGCAGCUUAACUGUGGGAAUUGCUGGAGAUACUAUUAGACUUGAGACCGGGAGAGGUUAGAGGUACUCCCAGGGUAGAGGUGAAAUUCUGUAAUCCUGGGAGGACCGCCUGUUGCGAAGGCGUCUAACUGGAACGGUUCUGACGGUGAGGGACGAAAGUUAGGGGCGCGAACCGGAUUAGAUACCCGGGUAGUCCUAACUGUAAACGAUGCGGACUUGGUGUUGGGGUGGCUUUGAGCUGCUUCAGUGCCGAAGGGAAGCUGUUAAGUCCGCCGCCUGGGAAGUACGGUCGCAAGAC
rnacentral:rRNA from 1 species